rnacentral:rRNA from 1 species
CCUACGGGAGGCAGCAGUGAGGAAUAUUGGUCAAUGGACGGAAGUCUGAACCAGCCAUGCCGCGUGCAGGAUGACGGCUCUAUGAGUUGUAAACUGCUUUUGUAUUGGGGUAAACACCCCUACGUGUAGGGGCUUGAAAGUAUAAUACGCAUAAGGAUAGGCUAACUCCGUGCCAGCAGCCGCGGUAAUACGGAGGGUCCAAGCGUUAUCCGGAUUUCUUGGGUUUAAAGGGUGCGUAGGCGGUUUGAUAAGUUAGAGGUGAAAUCCCGGUGCUCAACACCGGAACUGCAUCUAAUACUGUUUAACUAGAGAGGAGUUGCGGUAGGCGGAAUGUAUGGUGUAGCGGUGAAAUGCUUAGAGAUCAUACAGAACACCGAUUGCGAAGGCAGCUUACCAAACUAUAUCUGACGUUGAGGCACGAAAGCGUGGGUAGCAAACAGGAUUAGAUACCCGUGUAGUC